rnacentral:rRNA from 2 species
ACCAGUGGCGAAGGCGGUUUGUUUGGUCUGUAAUUGAUGGGGAGGCUCGACAGCAUGGGUAGCAAACAGGAUUAGAUACCCUGGUAGUCCAUGCCGUAAACGAUGAGUGCUAGGUGUUGGAGGGUUUCCGCCCUUCAGUGCCGCAGCUAACGCAUUAAGCAUUCCGCGUGGGGAGUACGACCGCAAGGUUGAAACUCAAAGGAAUUGACGGGGGCCCGCACAAGCGGGUGGAGCAUGUGGUUUAAUUCGAAGCAACGCGAAGAACCUUACCAGGUCUUGACAUCCUUUGACCACUCUAGAGAUAGAGCUUUCCCUUCGGGGACAAAGUGACAGGUGGUGCAUGGUUGUCGUCAGCUCGUGUCGUGAGAUGUUGGGUUAAGUCCCGCAACGAGCGCAACCCUUAUUACUAGUUGCCAGCAUUUAGUUGGGCACUCUAGUGAGACUGCCGGUGACAAACCGGAGGAAGGUGGGGACGACGUCAAAUCAUCAUGCCCCUUAUGACCUGGGCUACACACGUGCUACAAUGGAUGGUACAACGAGUUGCGAGACCGCGAGGUUUAGCUAAUCUCUUAAAACCAUUCUCAGUUCGGAUUGUAGGCUGCAACUCGCCUACAUGAAGCCGGAAUCGCUAGUAAUCGCGGAUCAGCAUG